GACGAACGCUGGCGGCGUGCUUAACACAUGCAAGUCGAACGGAAAGGCCCUGCUUUUGUGGGGUGCUCGAGUGGCGAACGGGUGAGUAACACGUGAGUAACCUGCCCUAGACUUUGGGAUAACUUCAGGAAACUGGGGCUAAUACCGGAUAGGAGCUCCUGCUGCAUGGUGGGGGUUGGAAAGUUUCGGCUGUUGGGGUUGGACGCGCGGCUUAUGAGCUUGUUGGUGGGGUAGCGGCUUACCAAGGCUUUGACGGGUAGCCGGCCUGAGAGGGUGGCCGGCCACAAUGGGACUGCGAUACGCACCAGACUGCUACAGUGGGCAACAGUCGGGAAUAUUGCACAAUGGGCGGAAGCCGGUUGCAGCAACCCCGCGUGCGGGAUGCCGGCCUUCGGGUUGUAAACCGCUUUAGCCUGUGACGAAGCGUUUGUGACGGUACUGGGUGAAGAAGCACCGGCUAACUACGUG
rnacentral:rRNA from 1 species